UUUUGAUUAAUAAUUUAAAGUCUAAUCUGCCCACUGAUAAUAUAUUAAAGGGCUGCAGUAUUUUGACUGUACAAAGGUAGCAUAAUCAUUAGUCUCUUAAUUGGUGACUUGUAUGAAGGAUUUGAUGAAAUAUAUACUGUCUCUUUUUAAUUUAUAAAAUUUAAUUUUUUAGUUAAAAAGCUAAAAUAUUUUUAAAAGACGAGAAGACCCUAUAGAGUUUUAUAUUUAUUUAAAUUAAGAUUUUUUAUAAGAUUUAAAAUUUUAAUUUAUAUAAAUAUUUUGUUGGGGUGAUAGAAAAAUUAAAAUAACUUUUUUUAUAAUUUUACAUUAAUAAGUGAAUAAAUGAUCCGUAAUUUACGAUUAUAAGAUAAAAUUACCUUAGGGAUAACAGCGUAAUUUUUUUUUUUAGUUCAAAUAAGAAAAAAAGUUUGCGACCUCGAUGUUGGAUUAAGAUAAAAUUUAAAUGCAAAAGUUUAAAAUUUUUGAUCUG
rnacentral:rRNA from 1 species